UACGUAGGGGGCAAGCGUUGUCCGGAAUUAUUGGGCGUAAAGAGCGUGUAGGCGGUCCGGUAAGUCAGCUGUAAAAGUCAAGGGCUCAACCCUUGAAAGCCGGUUGAUACUGUCGGGCUAGAGUCCGGAAGAGGCGAGUGGAAUUCCCGGUGUAGCGGUGAAAUGCGCAGAUAUCGGGAGGAACACCAAUGGCGAAGGCAGCUCGCUGGGACGGUACUGACGCUGAGACGCGAAAGCGUGGGGAGCAAACAGG
rnacentral:rRNA from 1 species